rnacentral:tRNA from 1 species
GCUGGAAUAGCUCAGUUGGCAGAGCGACGCACUCGUAAUGCGUAGGUCGAGGGUUCAAGUCCCUUUUCCAGCUCCA